UCGAGCGAACGGACGAGAAGCUUGCUUCUCUGAUGUUAGCGGCGGACGGGUGAGUAACACGCGGAUAACCUACCUAUAAGACUGGGAUAACUUCGGGAAACCGGAGCUAAUACCGGAUAAUAUUUUGAACCGCAUGGUUCAAAAGUAAAAGACGGUCUUGCUGUCACUUAUAGAUGGAUCCGCGCUGCAUUAGCUAGUUGGUAAGGUAACGGCUUACCAAGGCAACGAUGCAUAGCCGACCUGAGAGGGUGAUCGGCCACACUGGAACUGAGACACGGUCCAGACUCCUACGGGAGGCAGCAGUAGGGAAUCUUCCGCAAUGGGCGAAAGCCUGACGGAGCAACGCCGCGUGAGUGAUGAAGGUCUUCGGAUCGUAAAACUCUGUUACUAGGGAAGAACAUAUGUGUAAGUAACUGUGCACAUCUUGACGGUACCUAAUCAGAAAGCCACGGCUAACUACGUGCCAGCAGCCGCGGUAAUACGUAGGUGGCAAGCGUUAUCCGGAAUUAUUGGGCGUAAAGCGCGCGUAGGCGGUUUUUUAAGUCUGAUGUGAAAGCCCACGGCUCAACCGUGGAGGGUCAUUGGAAACUGGAAAACUUGAGUGCAGAAGAGGAAAGUGGAAUUCCAUGUGUAGCGGUGAAAUGCGCAGAGAUAUGGAGGAACACCAGUGGCGUAGGCGACUUUCUGGUCUGUAACUGACGCUGAUGUGCGAAAGCGUGGGGAUCAAACAGGA
rnacentral:rRNA from 1 species